GAUGAACGCUGGCGGCGUGCCUAAUACAUGCAAGUCGAACGAACAGACCAGGAGCUUGCUCCUCUGACGUUAGCGGCGGGCGGGUGAGUCACACGUGGAUAACCUACCUAUCAGACUGGGAUCACUUCGGGAAACCGGCGCUAAUACCGGAUAAUAUAUUGAACCGCAUGGUUCAAUAGUGAAAGACGGUUUUGCUGUCACUUAUAGAUGGAUCCGCGCCGCAUUAGCUAGUUGGUAAGGUAACGGCUUACCAAGGCAACGAUGCGUAGCCGACCGGAGAGGGUGAUCGCCCACACUGGAAGGGAGACACGGUCCAGACUCCUACGGGAGGCAGCAGUAGGGAAUCUUCCGCAAUGGGCGAAAGCCUGACGGAGCAACGCGGCGUGAGUGAUGAAGGUCCUCGGAGCGGAAAACUGUGUUAUUAGUGAAGAACAAAUGUGUAAGUAACCAUGCACGUCUUGACGGUACCGAAUCAGAAAGCCACGGCUAACUACGUG
rnacentral:rRNA from 1 species